rnacentral:rRNA from 1 species
UACGUAGGGCGCAAGCGUUAAUCGGAAUUACUGGGCGUAAAGCGUGCGCAGGCGGUGAUGUAAGACAGUUGUGAAAUCCCCGGGCUCAACCUGGGAACUGCAUCUGUGACUGCAUUGCUGGAGUGCGGCAGAGGGGGAUGGAAUUCCGCGUGUAGCAGUGAAAUGCGUAGAUAUGCGGAGGAACACCGAUGGCGAAGGCAGGUCUCUGGGCUGACACUGACGCUCAUGCACGAAAGCGUGGGGAGCAAACAGG